rnacentral:rRNA from 1 species
GAUGAACGCUGGCGGCGUGCUUAACACAUGCAAGUCGAACGAUGAAGCCCAGCUUGCUGGGUGGAUUAGUGGCGAACGGGUGAGUAACACGUGAGCAGCCUGCCCCUGACUCUGGGAUAAGCGCUGGAAACGGUGUCUAAUACUGGAUAUGUGCCACGGCCGCAGGGUCUGCGGGUGGAGAGACUUUUUGGUUGGGGAUGGGCUCGCGGGUUAUCAGCUUGGUGGGGAGGUAAUGGCUCACCAAGGCGUUGACGGGUAGCCGGCCUGAGAGGGUGACCGGCCACACUGGGACUGAGACACGGCCCAGACUCCUACGGGAGGCAGCAGUGGGGAAUAUUGCACAAUGGGCGGAAGCCUGAUGCAGCAACGCCGCGUGAGGGAUGACGGCCUUCGGGUUGUAAACCUCUUUUAGCAGGGAAGAAGCGAGAGUGACGGUACCUGCAGAAAAAGCACCGGCUAACUACGUGCCAGCCGCCGCGGUAAGAC